GUCGAGCGGAUGAGAGGAGCUUGCUCCUGGAUUCAGCGGCGGACGGGUGAGUAAUGCCUAGGAAUCUGCCUGGUAGUGGGGGACAACGUUUCGAAAGGAACGCUAAUACCGCAUACGUCCUACGGGAGAAAGCAGGGGACCUUCGGGCCUUGCGCUAUCAGAUGAGCCUAGGUCGGAUUAGCUAGUUGGUGAGGUAAUGGCUCACCAAGGCGACGAUCCGUAACUGGUCUGAGAGGAUGAUCAGUCACACUGGAACUGAGACACGGUCCAGACUCCUACGGGAGGCAGCAGUGGGGAAUAUUGGACAAUGGGCGAAAGCCUGAUCCAGCCAUGCCGCGUGUGUGAAGAAGGUCUUCGGAUUGUAAAGCACUUUAAGUUGGGAGGAAGGGUUGUAGAUUAAUACUCUGCAAUUUUGACGUUACCGACAGAAUAAGCACCGGCUAACUCUGUGCCAGCAGCCGCGGUAAUACAGAGGGUGCAAGCGUUAAUCGGAAUUACUGGGCGUAAAGCGCGCGUAGGUGGUUUGUUAAGUUGGAUGUGAAAUCCCCGGGCUCAACCUGGGAACUGCAUCCAAAACUGGCAAGCUAGAGUAUGGUAGAGGGUGGUGGAAUUUCCUGUGUAGCGGUGAAAUGCGUAGAUAUAGGAAGGAACACCAGUGGCGAAGGCGACCACCUGGACUGAUACUGACACUGA
rnacentral:rRNA from 1 species